CGUGUAGCAGUGAAAUGCGUAGAGAUGCGGAGGAACACCGAUGGCGAAGGCAGCCCCCUGGGCCAACACUGACGCUCAGGCACGAAAGCGUGGGGAGCAAACAGGAUUAGAUACCCUGGUAGUCCACGCCCUAAACGAUGUCAACUGGGUGUUGGGGAAGCGAUUCCUUGGUACCGUAGCUAACGCGUGAAGUUGACCGCCUGGGGAGUACGGCCGCAAGGUUAAAACUCAAAGGAAUUGACGGGGACCCGCACAAGCGGUGGAUGAUGUGGAUUAAUUCGAUGCAACGCGAACAACCUUACCUACCCUUGACAUGU
rnacentral:rRNA from 1 species